rnacentral:rRNA from 1 species
UCGCAUCGAUGAAGAACGCAGCGAAAUGCGAUAAGUAAUGUGAAUUGCAGAAUUCAGUGAAUCAUCGAAUCUUUGAACGCACCUUGCGCUCCUUGGUAUUCCGAGGAGCAUGCCUGUUUGAGUGUCAUUAAAUUCUCAACCCCUCUAACUUUUGUUGGAAGGGGCUUGGAUAUGGAGGCUUGCUGGCCCUUUGUUAAAGAAGGUCAGCUCCUCUGAAAUGCAUUAGCGGAAC